rnacentral:rRNA from 1 species
AAAAUUAGUGGCAGACGGGUGAGUAAUGCAUAGGAAUCUACCUAGUAGUAUGGGAUAGCCACUAGAAAUGGUGGGUAAUACUGUAUAAUCCCUGCGGGGGAAAGAUUUAUCGCUAUUAGAUGAGCCUAUGUUAGAUUAGCUAGUUGGUAGGGUAAAGGCCUACCAAGGCAGUGAUCUAUAGCUGGUCUGAGAGGAUGAUCAGCCACACUGGAACUGAGAUACGGUCCAGACUCCUACGGGAGGCAGCAGUGGGGAAUAUUGGACAAUGGGCGCAAGCCUGAUCCAGCUAUGCCGCGUGAGUGAGGAAGGCCUUAGGGUUGUAAAACUCUUUCAGUGGGGAAGAUAAUGACGGUACCCACAGAAGAAGUCCCGGCAAACUCCGUGCCAGCAGCCGCGGUAAUACGGAGGGGGCAAGCGUUGUUCGGAAUUAUUGGGCGUAAAGGGCAUGUAGGCGGUUCGGUAAGUUAAAGGUGAAAUGCCAGGGCUUAACCCUGGAGCUGCUU